rnacentral:rRNA from 1 species
AACGAACGCUGGCGGCAUGCCUAACACAUGCAAGUCGAACGAGACCUUCGGGUCUAGUGGCGCACGGGUGCGUAACGCGUGGGAAUCUACCCUUGGGUUCGGAAUAACUCAGAGAAAUUUGAGCUAAUACCGGAUGAUGUCGCAAGACCAAAGAUUUAUCGCCCAAGGACGAGCCCGCGUAGGAUUAGCUUGUUGGUGAGGUAAAAGCUCACCAAGGCGACGAUCCUUAGCUGGUCUGAGAGGAUGAUCAGCCACACUGGGACUGAGACACGGCCCAGACUCCUACGGGAGGCAGCAGUGGGAAUAUUGGACAAUGGGCGAAAGCCUGAUCCAGCAAUGCCGCGUGAGUGAUGAAGCCUUAGGGUUGUAAAGCUCUUUUACCCGGGAUGGAUAAUGACAGUACCGGGAGAAUAAGCCCCGGCU